UACAGAGGUCUCAAGCGUUUGUUCGGAUUCAUUGGGCGUAAAGGGUGCGUAGGCGGCGUGGUAAGUCGGGUGUGAAAUCUCGGAGCUUAACUCCGAAACUGCAUUCGAUACUGCUCGGCUAGAGUAUGGGGAGAGGGUGAGUGGAAUUCCCGGGUGUAGCGGUGAAAUGCGUAGAUAUCGGGAGGAACAUCAGUGGACGAAGGCGGCUACCGUGGCCCAAUACUGACACUCAGGUGCGAACAGCCGGUGGGGAGCAAACAGGG
rnacentral:rRNA from 1 species